GCUUGUCUCAAAGAUUAAGCCAUGCAUGUCUCAGUAUAAGCUUUUACACGGCGAAACUGCGAAUGGCUCAUUAAAACAGUUAUCGUUUCUUUGGUGGUUAUUGAUUACAUGGAUAGCCGUGGUAAUUCUAGAGCUAAUACAUGCACGAAAGCCCGACGCAAGGAGGGCCGUAUUUAUUAGAUUAACCAACCCUCCGGGUUCUGGUGACUCAUAAUAACUGAGCGAACCGCAUGCUCACGCGGCGGUAGUUCGACCAAGUUUCUGCCCUAUCAGCUUUCGAUGGUAGGGUAUUGGCCUACCAUGGCGUUCACGGGUAACGGAGAAUUAGGGUUCGAUUCCGGAGAGGGAGCCUGAGAGAUGGCUACCACAUCCAAGGAAGGCAGCAGG
rnacentral:rRNA from 1 species